rnacentral:rRNA from 1 species
GACGAACGCUGGCGGCGUGCCUAAUACAUGCAAGUCGAGCGCAGGAAACUGACGGAACUCUUCGGAGGGAAGGCAGUGGAAUGAGCGGCGGACGGGCGAGUAACACGUAAGGAACCUGCCUCAAGGAUUGGGAUAACUCCGAGAAAUCGGAGCUAAUACCGGAUAGUUCAACGGACCGCAUGGUCCGCUGAUGAAAGGCGCUCCGGCGUCACCUUGAGAUGGCCUUGCGGUGCAUUAGCUAGUUGGUGGGGUAACGGCCCACCAAGGCGACGAUGCAGUGCGGCGCUGAGAGGGUGAGCGGCCACACGGGGACUGAGACACGGCCCAGACUCCUACGGGAGGCAGCAGUAGGGAAUCUUCCACAAUGGACGAAAGUCUGAUGGAGCAACGCCGCGUGAGUGAUGAAGGUUUUCGGAUCGUAAAACUCUGUUGUAAGGGAAGAACACGUACGAGAGGGAAUGCUCGUACCUUGACGGUACCUUACGAGAAAGCCACGGCUAACUACGUGCCAGCCGCCGCGGUAACAC